UGGUACUGGUUUCGACAUUUGGAAGCCCCUCGUUUAGUUAUUUUGAAGUUCAGAUUCUACACCAGCUCACUUGUGUGAAUCGGAGCCUCUCUCUUCUUUCAAUGUAUUGGAUGUAAGGCAACGCGAGUGCCGCUCCUCUUUUUAGAUUUGAGCAACUUGGCAUAAUGGGUGCUGGAUGUGAUUCGACGGCUGUGUUUUAGCCAAGACACCCAAAUACCAAUACACCCGAAAGACUCAUGCUUUCCUUUUUUCAUUUUUUUCGUUUGGAUAUUUCCCCCAAAUAGCAGAGUCUUUCGGCGGAGGUUUUCUUGUUCUUGGAACCUCAAAAACCCGGCAAGCGAUUCGAUUUGAACUGCGCUCGGGAGGUUAAAGGUGAUCGCCCGAGAAUAUUUGAAUAUGAGACCGAUGUAGGGACAAGGGAACUUGGCAUGACUUGCGUGAUUAUUAACUUCGUUAAUAAUUACGCAGUUCCGGUCCUAUUGAUUAGUACGCUGAUCUGAGGACUAAAAAUUAUGUUCUUCCAUUUCAACGUGGACCGUGGAAGAGGUCGGAGUGGUGUUAUUUUCUUGAACCGCGAAUUUCACAAAAGCUGGAUAGUCGAUAGAUUUAGGCAAAGUUGAAGUUGUACCCUCCCGUGCAUCCGUUAAAUACAUCCGGAGGAAGCGCCGCUACUGACCCCACGGAGUCAACGUUGGAAUUGACCAAAAAUCCAGCCAAGGCUCAAACCUUUCCGCCUGGUUCGAAGACUGCGCUGCGCGAACAAUACUGGCAGCCGCAACAGGCGUAAACCGGAAGUCAGGACCGCUCAUCGCACGCCCAGCUAGGAGUAGAACCCGUCGACGUAGCGAAUCACAUAAAUCCAUGGUAGUGAGUACCUUUUUUCCUUAUCCAUUAUUAACAUGCGCAUGUAGGAUAAGUGAUAUUGAGCAAAACGCUAUAAAUAGCUACUAACCACGAAAGCCACACAAUUCAAAGCCAUACACACACAAAUAAUGCAUGCAGUGGAGAGCUCACUCCAUAUGACUGUGUAAUUUCAAUCGCUAUAAGCGAAGCCAUUCAUGAAUAGCCUAACGGAGUAAAUAGCAAGCGCGCCGUCUUCUCAACCUAGAUGUGAUGAGAUCGAGACUUGGGAGGAAAAUUAGAGUAGAGUAAUGAAAUUUGAUUAAUGUUCUUAGAGUAAAUAAAUUUUCUAUGUUGAUGGAUGUUCUUUCCUGAUUGACUAAAUGUUCAAUGUAGAAGAGAAGUGUUGAUGAAGCUAAUUGA